CCUGCCGAACGGGCAGGUGGCCGCGAAGACGGCGACGUCCGCACGGUGGUGGAGCCAGGCCGUGCCGAGGAACUU
rnacentral:tRNA from 1 species